rnacentral:rRNA from 1 species
CCUACGGGGUGCACCAGUGGGGAAUAUUGCACAAUGGGGGAAACCCUGAUGCAGCCAUGCCGCGUGUGUGAAGAAGGCCUACGGGUUGUAAAGCACUUUCAGUAGGGAGGAAGGUAGUGUAGUUAACACCUGCAUUGUUUGACGUUACCUACAGAAGAAGCACCGGCUAACUCCGUGCCAGCAGCCGCGGUAAUACGGAGGGUGCGAGCGUUAAUCGGAAUUACUGGGCGUAAAGCGCAUGCAGGCGGCCUGUUAAGUCAGAUGUGAAAGCCCGGGGCUUAACCUCGGAAUUGCAUUUGAAACUGGCAGGCUAGAGUCUUGUAGAGGGGGGUGGAAUUUCAGGUGUAGCGGUGAAAUGCGUAGAGAUCUGAAGGAAUACCAGUGGCGAAGGCGGCCCCCUGGACAAAGACUGACGCUCAGAUGCGAAAGCGUGGGGAGCAAACAGGAUUAGAUACCCGUGUAGUC